rnacentral:rRNA from 1 species
UACGAAGGGGGCUAGCGUUGCUCGGAAUCACUGGGCGUAAAGCGCACGUAGGCGGAUCUUUAAGUCAGGGGUGAAAUCCCGAGGCUCAACCUCGGAACUGCCUUUGAUACUGGGGAUCUCGAGUCCGGAAGAGGUUGGUGGAACUCCGAGUGUAGAGGUGAAAUUCGUAGAUAUUCGGAAGAACACCAGUGGCGAAGGCGACUCGCUGGACAAGUAUUGACGCUGAGGUGCGAAAGCGUGGGGAGCAAACAGG